GGGGAACCAUAGUCAAGAAAGAGGUGAUUGGAAGAAAAAUUCUGAUCGUGCCAUCAUGCACUAGGCCUACUGUACAAGCCUGUGGGGGCAGUGCUAUGAUCUGGUGUUGCUGCAGUUGGUCGGGUCUAGGUUCAGCAACAUUAUGUGCCCAAAGGACUACCUCAAUAUACUGAAUGACCAGAUUAUUCCAUCAAUGGAUUUUUUCUUCCCUGAUUGCACGGGCAUAUUACAAGAUGACAAUGCGAGGAUUCAUUGGGCUCAAAUUGUGAAAGAGUGGUUCAGGGAGCAAGAGACAUUUUCACACAAGGAUUGGCCACCACAGAGUCCAGACCUCAACCCCAUUGAAAAUCUUUGGGAUCUGCUGGAGAAGGCUUUGGACAGUGGUCAGACUCUCCCAUCA